GAUGAAGAACGCAGCGAAAUGCGAUAAGUAGUGUGAAUUGCAGAAUUCAGUGAAUCAUCGAAUCUUUGAACGCACAUUGCGCCCUUUGGUAUUCCUUAGGGCAUGCCUGUUCGAGCGUCAUUUAAACCUUCAAGCUAAGCUUGGUGUUGGGUGACUGUCCGCUUCACUGCGGACUCGCCUCAAAAUUAUUGGCGGCCGGUACAUUGGCUUCGAGCGCAGCAGAAACGCGAACUCGGGCCCGUCGUAUUGGCUCCCAGAAGCUAUCUUCACAAUUUUGACCUCGGAUCAGGUAGGGAUACCCGCUGAACUUAAGCUAUCAAUAAGCGGAGGA
rnacentral:misc_RNA from 1 species